GUGAGGAAUAUUGCGCAAUGGAGGCAACUCUGACGCAGUCAUGCCGCGUGCAGGAAGAAGGCGCUACGCGUUGUAAACUGCUUUUAACCGGGAAGAAACCCCAGGACGUGUCCUGGGUUGACGGUACCGGAGGAAUAAGCACCGGCUAACUUCGUGCCAGCAGCCGCGGUAAUACGAAGGGUGCAAGCGUUAUCCGGAUUCAUUGGGUUUAAAGGGUGCGUAGGCGGAGCGUUAAGUCAGUGGUGAAAUCCUGCAGCUUAACUGUAGACUUGCCAUUGAUACUGGCGCUCUUGAGUGCGCUUGAAGUGGGCGGAAUGUGCCGUGUAGCGGUGAAAUGCUUAGAUAUGGCACAGAACACCAAUUGCGAAGGCAGCUCACUAAGGCGAUACUGACGCUGAGGCACGAAAGCGUGGGGAUCGAACAGGAUUAGAUACCCCUGUAGUCC
rnacentral:rRNA from 1 species